rnacentral:rRNA from 1 species
CGCGGCCUAUCAGCUUGUUGGUGGGGUGAUGGCCUACCAAGGCGACGACGGGUAGCCGGCCUGAGAGGGCGACCGGCCACACUGGGACUGAGACACGGCCCAGACUCCUACGGGAGGCAGCAGUGGGGAAUAUUGCGCAAUGGGCGAAAGCCUGACGCAGCGACGCCGCGUGAGGGAUGAAGGCCUUCGGGUUGUAAACCUCUUUCAGCGCCGAAGAAGCGAAAGUGACGGUAGGCGCAGAAGAAGCACCGGCUAACUACGUGCCAGCAGCCGCGGUAAUACGUAGGGUGCAAGCGUUGUCCGGAAUUAUUGGGCGUAAAGAGCUCGUAGGCGGUUUGUCGCGUCUGCUGUGAAAACUCGGGGCUUAACUCCGGGCCUGCAGUGGGUACGGGCAGACUAGAGUGCGGUAGGGGAGACUGGAAUUCCUGGUGUAGCGGUGAAAUGCGCAGAUAUCAGGAGGAACACCGGUGGCGAAGGCGGGUCUCUGGGCCGUAACUGACGCUGAGGAGCGAAAGCGUGGGGAGCGAACAGGAUUAGAUACCCUGGUAGUCCACGCCGUAAACGUUGGGCGCUAGGUGUGGGGCUCUUUCCACGAGUUCCGUGCCGCAGCAAACGCAUUAAGCGCCCCGCCUGGGGAGUACGG